CAUGGCUCAGAUUGAACGCUGGCGGCAGGCCUAACACAUGCAAGUCGAGCGGCAGCACGGGUACUUGUACCUGGUGGCGAGCGGCGGACGGGUGAGUAAUGCCUAGGAAUCUGCCUGGUAGUGGGGGAUAACGUUCGGAAACGGACGCUAAUACCGCAUACGUCCUACGGGAGAAAGCAGGGGACCUUCGGGCCUUGCGCUAUCAGAUGAGCCUAGGUCGGAUUAGCUAGUUGGUGAGGUAAUGGCUCACCAAGGCUACGAUCCGUAACUGGUCUGAGAGGAUGAUCAGUCACACUGGAACUGAGACACGGUCCAGACUCCUACGG
rnacentral:rRNA from 1 species